CUUCCUCUCUCUCUUCUUCCUUUUCUCUCGUUUCCCCUUGUUUUCUUUCUCUAUCUUUUUACCUCACUGUCACAUCUUCUUUAGUAAAUAUAAAAAGGGUUCACUUUUGCUGCAUAUUUCUAAUUAUUCAGAAUAUAUAAAUUGAAACCAUAGUUUUUUCUUUUUAUGGAAAAUUGUACACCAAAAAGCAUGCCUGAAAUAACCGGUUUUGCCGGGAAAAUACAUGUGAACAAGGCGUGGCAAAAUGGUUGGAGGCUAACAGGAACAGGAAUAUAGUAGGGGAACUUAACGGAACAUGUCGAAAACGACCGAAUCUGACAUCUAUUGAUCGUAACAGGUUCUGUACAGUUUCCUACGAUACUCAAAUAAUUCGAAUUUAAAAUUUUAUAUUUAGUUCAAAUGAAAUUUUAUAUUAAUUUAUUAAAUAUAUUAAAUAAUCACAAUUAUUUAGGUUUUUAUAUAUAUCUUACUUAUAUAAUAUUGUUUGUUUCAAUUCUUUAUAAUCAUAUUUGUGACUACGUUGAAUACUAUAACAUUAAAAAUAAAUAUAAUUGGAGAUUAUAUUUAUAAAUCAUCUUUUUAUGUACUUAUAUGUUAUUUUAAAAAAAUAAAUAUUGUCACAUCAGAAGUUCACUCUUGACUAUUUUUGUUGCCUUGUUUACGAAUAAAACUCAAGCAAACCGUUGAAUAGUUAAAUAUAAGUUGACAUUCUCAUUCCACGGAAUACUUGACUAUUGAUUUUAUCCCUACCAUGGUCUCUUCGUCCUUUGGUUAAUAAGUAUGCGCUGUAGCUGUGAUAGUAUGCGCAGAAAUGUAAUCGUCUUUAUGGAGAAGACGAGUUCACCACAAUAUAGUAGUAGUCUAACUUGAUGCAAGGAGAAAGGGGAUACUUGGAUACGUUGACCCAACAUCCCUGACUAGUCCUCCCUCUCCAACAUCUCCUCCCACAAAUCUGGUUUCAUUGCGAGUUGCGCACAACUUUCUAAGCUCGAACCUUCUCUGACGACGUUUGUUCAAGUUAUGCUCAUUGCGUGCAGAGUAGGGAUAGAAAAAGAUAAAGAUUUCAAUAAAGGUUCUGAUUAAUAAGAUUUUAUGAGUUUGUUCAAGAUUAUUAAUUGAACCUAUUAUGCAAAAAUAAUAUAGUUCUUCGUAUUAUUAACUACUUUUUAUUUUAAACUUAUUAGUUUAAAAUAUGUUUUUAUAUCAAAAAAUAUUAUAAAUAAAUAAAAAUAGAAAUAAACAUAUAUAAUUAAAUCAAUAUAAGUAAUGUUUAUGUAAAUAUAAAUAUGUAAUAUAAAUAUUCAAAUAUGCAUUUAUAUAUAUAUAUAUAUACUUGUAAAUAAAUAUAUAUAAAUAAAAUUUUUUAUUCUAA